rnacentral:misc_RNA from 1 species
CGGUGAUCAAGAAUUGACAUGAGAGCUGAAUGAUCUUUCACUGAACGCUCAAUCCUGGCAUCACUUUCCGCAGCUUGCUUCAAGUUACCUGCAAAUCUAUUCAAUCUAUCUUGUAUGUUCUUUGUCAAUGUACUGGACUGGGGCCUAGUCCACCGAGUCCCAAAUUGACUUCGAAAUUGGGAAUCCUCUCUUGCUUCUUUCUGCAGGAGCUCCUCAAUCUGCACUAGCAUUUCACUGUUUACUCUUCUUAGAUCCCUGAGCUG